AUGAGUACCCUAACCUCUUUUGCUUUUCUUUCUUUCUUCAAGAACGGGUCUUACUCUGUCACCCAGACUGAAGUGCAGUGGUACAAACAUGGCUGUCUGCAGCCUCCAUCUCCUGGGCUAAAGCAAACCUCCCACCUCAGGCUUUGGAGUAGCCAUGACUACAGGGACAGGGUUUUGCCGUGUAACCCAGGCUAGUCUCUAUAAGUUCGAGUGACCCACCCACCUCGGCCAUCCAAAGUGCCAGGAUUACAGGCAUGAGCCACCGCUCCCCAACUUGCAGGUACCACCUUCUAUUUAUUUAUUCGUAAGUUGAACAUUUGUUUUUUUCCACUUUUUGACUAUUUUGAAUAAUACUACUCAGAACAUUCAUGUCACACAGUUUUUGGGAAGCAGAUGUUCUUUCGUGGUGUAAAUACCCAGCAGUAAAAUUGCAGGGCUAUCUGGG
rnacentral:lncRNA from 1 species